UCCAUUUUCGUCCGCUGCUCUUUUAAUAUUCACGGUUUAGACGGCAUCUGGGACCCUCACGGAGAUCUCUUCCUCGCUUCCCAUCUUUCCCCCUCUCCGAUCUGUAGCUGUUCGAUUCUGGAGGAAUUUAGUGGAGGAGUUUCCUCUCUUCUAGAGGCCUUUCGUCGCCAUGGAUCGCGCGGAGCUGACGACCGAACAGGUUCUCAAGAGGGAUAUACCAUGGGAGACUUACAUGUCAACAAAGCUCAUCACUGGAACAUGUCUUCAGCUAUUAAGGCGCUAUGACAACAGAUCUGAAAGUCAAAGAGCUGCUUUGCUUGAUGAUGAUGGACCAGCUUAUGUUCAGGUCUUUGUGAAUAUUCUACGUGACAUUGCGAAGGAAGAAACAGUAGAAUAUGUGCUUGCUCUUAUUGAUGAAAUGCUUACAGCAAAUCCCAAACGUGCUAGACUUUUUCAUGACAGGUCUCUAGCAAAUGAAGAUACUUAUGAACCUUUCUUAAGAUUGCUAUGGAAAGGCAACUGGUUCAUACAAGAAAAGAGCUGUAAAAUACUGUCUCUCAUAGUGAGUGUUCGGCCAAAAAUUCAGGAUGGCAUUGUUCUAAAUGGAAACACUUCACAUUCAAAAAGCACGCGCACUGGCAUCAAUGAUGUGCUAAAAGGCCUGGUUGAGUGGCUAUGUUCUCAGCUGAAGAACCCAUCUCAUCCCAAUUGUUCUGUGCCCACGGCUAUAAAUUGUUUAGCCACUUUGCUACGAGAACCUUGCGUGAGAGCUUCAUUUGUUCAAGCAGAUGGCGUGAAGUUGCUAAUUCCUUUGAUUUCUCCAGCAUCCACUCAGCAGUCUAUCCAGCUCCUUUAUGAAGCUUGCCUCUGUAUUUGGCUGUUGUCAUAUUAUGAUGCUGCAGUUGACUAUUUGGCCACUACCAGGAUAAUGCCAAGACUAGUGGAAGUUGUCAAAAGUUCCACAAAGGAGAAGGUUGUGAGGGUUAUUGUUUUGACCUUCCGCAAUUUGCUAGCAAAGGGAGCAUUUGGGGCUCAAAUGAUCGAUCUUGGAUUACCGCAUAUUGUCCAGAGUUUAAAAGCACAGGCAUGGAGUGAUGAGGAUUUGUUGGCUGCAUUGAAUCAGCUAGAAGAUGGGCUUAAAGAUAACAUCAAAAGAUUAAGUUCAUUUGAUAAAUAUAAGCAGGAAGUCCUUCUAGGUCAUCUUGACUGGUCCCCUAUGCACAAGGAUCCAAAUUUCUGGCGUGACAAUAUUACAAACUUUGAAGAAAAUGAUUUCCAGAUCCUGCGUGUCCUCGUAACAAUCCUUGAUAUGUCAAAUGAUCCAACAGCACUUGCUGUUGCUUGUUAUGAUUUAUCUCAAUUCAUUCAGUACCACCCCGGCGGGAGGAUUGUUGUUUCGGAUCUGAAGGCCAAGGAAAGGGCAAUGAAACUCAUGAAUCAUGAAAAUGCUGAGGUUACAAAGAAUGCCCUUCUUUGUGUCCAGAGGCUUUUCCUUGGUGCCAAAUAUGCUAGCUUUUUGCAGUCUUAAGUCCAUAAGCUAUGCCUUUGGGACUCUGGCUUGUGUGUGAGCUCAUGCUAUCACAAUUAAGUUGUAGCCUUAGUUGAUGAAACCUUAGGCAUUCUGUUGGAAAUUGCAAACUUUAUCUGACAUACUGUGGAAGAAGAGAAGGAAAAGGACAUGGGUAUUAUCAUCCCCUGAGGUACUUUGUUUCUGGCGAUCCCAUAUUUUGUAUUUGGGCGAAAAUAUUUGGCUGCAGAACCCGAAAUGCAUUCAUUUUCAGCUGUUAGAUUCUCUUCUGCAUAUAUUUUCGUUGUCUGUUCUUUGUGCUGGGAAUUUUGACCGGCUUUUACAUGGGCUGUCUGAAGAUUCUGUGUUUGAUGGCUGGUCCUACUUAGGUUGGUCUUGUGGAAAACUGACCGACAAUGGCCAGAUCAGUUGCUCUGUGAUACUCUCUUGGUACGGUCAGGUACCUAGUGUUGCUGCCAAAGUAUGGUCAGGCAGCCGAUGUUGCUGCCGAUGAGCUUGUAAUUCCGAUGCUUGAGAGGGCCACUGAAGGGAGAGAUUGUGGCUAAAAAAUUAGGGCAGGCAAACCUGGAUUGUGAUCAGGUAUUUGCUGGUGACAGUCGGAGCAGCUCAGGCUUGUCGUCUCUGACCUGAUGGAUCUAUGGUUAAUGCAAAGCAUCUCUCUCACCAUUCUGAAUUCAAUAUGGACUUACCAAAAUCUAAGAAAUCAAGUAUUUUUCCACUUCCAA